AGAGAGAGACAUGCGCGCAUAUCAAUAAGCGGAGGAAAAGAAACUAACAAGGAUUCCCUCUGUAACGGCGAGUGAAGCGGGAAGAGCUCAAAUUUGAAAUCUUCAAGGUUCUACCUUGACGAAUUGUAGUUUAAAGAAGUGUUUUCUGUUGGAGUUUUGGUAAAAGUUCUUUGGAAUAGGACAUCAUAGAGGGUGAGAAUCCCGUAUUUGACCAUUACUUUCCAGCUUUGUGAUACACUUUCAAAGAGUCGGAUUGUUUGGGAAUGCAGUCCAAAAUGGGUGGUAAAUUUCAUCUAAAGCUAAAUAUUGGCAAGAGACCGAUAGCGAACAAGUACCGUGAGGGAAAGAUGAAAAGAACUUUGAAAAGAGAGUUAAACAGUACGUGAAAUUGUCAAAAGGGAAGCGUUUGACACCAGUGUUGUUUUCUCGAAAAUCAAUUAAAAAAGGCAGGAUUUUGUGUUGUAUUGACUUUAUCAGCUUUCUGCACUCUUUUCUUGUCUUUUUUAAUGCACUUCUCGUUUAACAAGUCAACAUCAAUUUCUUUUGUUGUAAAAGGGUCAUUGGAAGGUGGCUUUCUUUUCGGAGAAAGUGUUUAUAGCCUUUGGCCUCUGCAAUCGGAGAGAUUGAGGUCUGCAGCGUAGAUCCUUCGGGGUUAGAUACAUUUGUGCUAAGUUAUAGCCUUUCAUAGACAACUUGUUGACUAUGAUCAGUCAUGUAGCUUACUCGCUUAUGCUAUUUUACCUACGCUUAGGAUGUUGAUGUGAUACUGCGAGCA
rnacentral:rRNA from 1 species